GGCUCAGGAUGAACGCUAGCUACAGGCUUAACACAUGCAAGUCGAGGGGCAGCAUUUCAGUUUGCUUGCAAACUGGAGAUGGCGACCGGCGCACGGGUGAGUAACACGUAUCCAACCUGCCGAUAACUCGGGGAUAGCCUUUCGAAAGAAAGAUCAAUACCCGAUGGUAUAAUCAGACCGCAUGGUCUUGUUAUUAAAGAAUUUCGGUUAUCGAUGGGGAUGCGUUCCAUUAGGCAGUUGGUGAGGUAACGGCUCACCAAACCUUCGAUGGAUAGGGGUUCUGAGAGGAAGGUCCCCCACAUUGGAACUGAGACACGGUCCAAACUCCUACGGGAGGCAGCAGUGAGGAAUAUUGGUCAAUGGGCGCAGGCCUGAACCAGCCAAGUAGCGUGAAGGAUGACUGCCCUAUGGGUUGUAAACUUCUUUUAUAUGGGAAUAAAGUUUUCCACGUGUGGAAUUUUGUAUGUACCAUAUGAAUAAGGAUCGGCUAACUCCGUGCCAGCAGCCGCGGUAAUACGGAGGAUCCGAGCGUUAUCCGGAUUUAUUGGGUUUAAAGGGAGCGUAGGUGGACAGUUAAGUCAGUUGUGAAAGUUUGCGGCUCAACCGUAAAAUUGCAGUUGAUACUGGCUGUCUUGAGUACAGUAGAGGUGGGCGGAAUUCGUGAUGUAGCGGUGAAAUGCUUAGAUAUCACGAAGAACUCCGAUUGCGAAGGCAGCUCACUGGACUGCAACUGACACUGAUGCUCGAAAGUGUGGGUAUCAAACAGGAUUAGAUACCCUGGUAGUCCACACAGUAAACGAUGAAUACUCGCUGUUUGCGAUAUACAGUAAGCGGCCAAGCGAAAGCAUUAAGUAUUCCACCUGGGGAGUACGCCGGCAACGGUGAAACUCAAAGGAAUUGACGGGGGCCCGCACAAGCGGAGGAACAUGUGGUUUAAUUCGAUGAUACGCGAGGAACCUUACCCGGGCUUAAAUUGCAUUUGAAUAUAUUGGAAACAGUAUAGCCGUAAGGCAAAUGUGAAGGUGCUGCAUGGUUGUCGUCAGCUCGUGCCGUGAGGUGUCGGCUUAAGUGCCAUAACGAGCGCAACCCUUAUCUUUAGUUACUAACAGGUCAUGCUGAGGACUCUAGAGAGACUGCCGUCGUAAGAUGUGAGGAAGGUGGGGAUGACGUCAAAUCAGCACGGCCCUUACGUCCGGGGCUACACACGUGUUACAAUGGGGGGUACAGAAGGCAGCUACCUGGUGACAGGAUGCUAAUCCCAAAAGCCUCUCUCAGUUCGGAUCGAAGUCUGCAACCCGACUUCGUGAAGCUGGAUUCGCUAGUAAUCGCGCAUCAGCCAUGGCGCGGUGAAUACGUUCCCGGGCCUUGUACACACCGCCCGUCAAGCCAUGAAAGCCGGGGGUACCUGAAGUACGUAACCGCAAGGAGCGUCCUAGGGUAAAACUGG
rnacentral:rRNA from 1 species